rnacentral:rRNA from 1 species
AGUGAACGCUGGCGGUAGGCCUAACACAUGCAAGUCGAACGGCAGCACAGUAAGAGCUUGCUCUUACGGGUGGCGAGUGGCGGACGGGUGAGGAAUACAUCGGAAUCUACUUUUUCGUGGGGGAUAACGUAGGGAAACUUACGCUAAUACCGCAUACGACCUACGGGUGAAAGCAGGGGAUCUUCGGACCUUGCGCGAUUGAAUGAGCCGAUGUCGGAUUAGCUAGUUGGCGGGGUAAAGGCCCACCAAGGCGACGAUCCGUAGCUGGUCUGAGAGGAUGAUCAGCCACACUGGAACUGAGACACGGUCCAGACUCCUACGGGAGGCAGCAGUGGGGAAUAUUGCACAAUGGGCGGAAGCCUGAUGCAGCAACGCCGCGUGCGGGAUGACGGCCUUCGGGUUGUAAACCGCUUUCGCCUGUGACGAAGCGUGAGUGACGGUAAUGGGUAAAGAAGCACCGGCUAACUACGUG